CGGCGGCGACUGAUUAGUCACUCAAGGUUCUGAUGAAUUUCGGUCAAUAUCUCUGCUUAGAAUUCGAACUCGGGUUAUGACUAUGCGCACUAUUUGACCGUAGUCACGGGUGGGGGGAGCGAUUACACGCAGCAAAAAAAAUAAAUAAAUUUCUAUCUUUAGGUACUGGCUUUGCGGAUUUCAGAAUAGAACGGAUAACCUCAGUGUCGGACAGUCCGUUGGCGUGCUGUUGGAAAUUCACAAUCAACCUCAAAGGUCCAGAACCCCUCGAGAUGGGAGCUGUCUGUCCUGGCUGUUGUUUCGGACCCUGUUGUCCGGGUCCUAGAGGAGCGGGUAGUUGGGGCCCACCUCGAGGUGGACCAGGUGGGCCCGGUCGAGGUGGACCGGGUGGCUUCGGAGGACCAGGGGGUCCCAGAGGAGGUGGUCCCGGAGGUGGGGGGCCUGGAGGAGGUCCGGGAGGGCGUUGAGGACUAUGAAAACCUGAUGAAAUCUUGACCCAUUUUUCGUCAUCCUUAUUUAUACUAGUGCUGAGAAAAUUGUUCGAGCUACAUACUAUGUUCACUCUGCUUAUGACCGCCGCCAAUGCUACUGCCUUGGAGCAUCAUCCAAGUUUUUUUCUGAGAUUCAUCUGGUGGCCUUCAUAUGUUAGAGAUUUUUAAUAAAACAUUGUAUUUGACGCUAA